UGAUACCACCGGACCACUCUGAACACUCACAGUCCCAUCUGAUUUCAGAAGCUAAGCAGAGUCAGACAUGGUUAGGUCUUGGAUGGGAGACCGACAAGCAAGGGAUCGC
rnacentral:rRNA from 1 species